AAUUAUAAUUUAAAUAUACUUUAAAUAUGUAUAAUAUAGUAUGAAUUUAGAAGUAAUUUUAUAUUAUUUAUAUAAAAUGAAUAAAGUAAUAUUUGCGUACAUACCGCCCGUCACUCCCCCCCAAUAUGGAGAAGUCGUAACAAGGUAAAAGUUCUGGAAAGAGUUUUUUAGAUUAUU
rnacentral:rRNA from 1 species